rnacentral:rRNA from 1 species
UACAGAGGGUGCGAGCGUUGUUCGGAAUUACUGGGCGUAAAGGGCGCGCAGGCGGCUCUGAAAGUCAGAUGUGAAAGCCCCGGGCUUAACCUGGGAAUUGCAUUUGAUACUCUGGAGCUUGAGUGUGGGAGAGGAGAGUGGAAUUCCCAGUGUAGAGGUGAAAUUCGUAGAUAUUGGGAAGAACACCGGUGGCGAAGGCGGCUCUCUGGACCACAACUGACGCUGAGGCGCGAAAGCGUGGGGAGCAAACAGG